rnacentral:rRNA from 1 species
CCUACGCUCAGGCAGCAGUGGGGAAUAUUGCACAAUGGGCGCAAGCCUGAUGCAGCGACGCCGCGUGAGGGAUGACGGCCUUCGGGUUGUAAACCUCUUUCAGUAGGGAAGAAGCGAAAGUGACGGUACCUGCAGAAGAAGCGCCGGCUAACUACGUGCCAGCAGCCGCGGUAAUACGUAGGGCGCAAGCGUUAUCCGGAAUUAUUGGGCGUAAAGAGCUCGUAGGCGGUUUGUCGCGUCUGCCGUGAAAGUCCGGGGCUCAACUCCGGAUCUGCGGUGGGUACGGGCAGACUAGAGUGAUGUAGGGGAGACUGGAAUUCCUGGUGUAGCGGUGAAAUGCGCAGAUAUCAGGAGGAACACCGAUGGCGAAGGCAGGUCUCUGGGCAUUAACUGACGCUGAGGAGCGAAAGCAUGGGGAGCGAACAGGAUUAGAUACCCUGGUAGUCCAUGCCGUAAACGUUGGGCACUAGGUGUGGGGGACAUUCCACGUUUUCCGCGCCGUAGCUAAC